CAUGUCUGUGUAGCCUCCGAGUCUUAAGUCGACUCAAGGAGGCGACUUGAGAAUCUCAUAUUUUUCUAUCGCAUAAGCCGGCGAAGAAAGAUGUUGGUACCCGCUCCAUCUCCAAGAUAUAAAGCCACCUUUUUAAUGAGGAAUUCCCCUGCAGAAAAAUAUUGCAGCCCAAAGUAAUUUCUCCUGGACAAAUAAUAUGUACUAAAAAGUAGAUAAGAUGAAUAGCACCUGAUGUGUUUUUCACGGAUGAACGUUAGAAAAUAUUCUGACAUAUUUGAUAUGAACCACGCAGCGGAGGCGGCGGCUCAGGUGCGUUUGUUGGGAGGCUUGUAAUGGUGUAUACAACACCGGCGGGUUGAUGUUGUUUGGACCGCGAAGGCGAUGCAUGGUAAGCUGUCUUAGUCGUGCAGAAGUGAAAGUUGACCGCGUCAUUGUAAGUCGUCUUGGUCGCGCGGAUAUGAGAGUUGGCCGCGGCAUUGAUUGACACGAGCUUCGUACUCAAAGUAUGAUGCCGCUUUUGUAAUGAAUAAUUGUCAUGUGUAACAAAAUAUUACAGGCGAGAGUAAUUGUUCUCAAAGCAAUUAACAGGUGCUUAAAAAGAAAAGAUGGAAACGGAUAGCACCUGAUUUGGAGGGAAUAAUAAUGAUCCGUGGGUGGAUGUUGGUGCCUCUCCACGUCGCCAUCCAAUUCCCCAUACUUAAGUCAGAACACCAGUAGUUCGUGUACGCCGGCGGCAGCCACGUGACAAGAUUAUCCAAAUGUGGAUCAAAGUUGUAGGCUCACGGGGCCAGGUUCUUUCGGCAGGCCCACCACGAUCGGUGACAUGGUUGCCCUGUUCUCCCUAGUCGGCAGCAUGGGACAACCAAAUUAACUGUUCAGCACAAUCAACUUUGCCGGAGAUAUCGUUUACCGAAGACGUCGGCGUUGAGGGAGGUGGAGGAAACGCAAACGUGGGGCGAAGCCCUCGGUGGAGGCGUCAACAGGGAGCGGCUCAGCAACGGGCGAAGGUAGCCGGGGUGAGCUGACAGCAGCUUAGCAGUAGGGCGAGGCGACGACGGCUCAACAGCGGCAACAGCUCAGAAAACGGAGCAACAAGGAGGCGCUGACGGCGGGCCAUGGUGAUUCGCACGGGAGGCACAAUAGAGGCGGAGCCCACGGUGGCGAUGAUAGGGGCGAGGCGACACCACGACGGUGGCUCCGCAUGGGCAAGGGGAGGUGCAGGUGAAGCGCGGCGUCAUCAUAGCGAGCGCUGGCGGGGUGCAAAAGAUGCAGUGCUAAUGAUGCCCGCGUGCGGGCCAUGACGCAGCAGGGGUACGAGUCCUGCUCAGACGGGGCCGUGGUUGCAGAACAAGGUGAAUCUGAGUCCACGUUAUGGCCGGCUUUGGCGAAGCAAG
rnacentral:lncRNA from 1 species